AUUGAACGCUGGCGGCAUGCCUUGCACAUGCAAGUCGAACGGCAGCACGGGGGCAACCCUGGUGGCGAGUGGCGAACGGGUGAGUAAUGCAUCGGAACGUACCCGGAAGUGGGGGAUAACGUAGCGAAAGUUACGCUAAUACCGCAUAUUCUGUGAGCAGGAAAGUGGGGGACCGCAAGGCCUCCCGCUUUCGGAGCGGCCGAUGUCGGAUUAGCUAGUUGGCGGGGUAAAGGCCCACCAAGGCGACGGUCCGUAGCGGGUCGGAGAGGAUGAUCCGCCACACUGGGACUGAGACACGGCCCAGACGCCUACGGGAGGCAGCAGUGGGGAAUUUUGGACAAUGGGCGCAAGCCUGAUCCAGCCAUGCCGCGUGAGUGAAGAAGGCCUUCGGGUUGUAAAGCUCUUUCGGCGGGGAAGAAAUUGCUUAGGUUAAUACCUUGAGUAGAUGACGGUACCCGCAUAAGAAGCACCGGCUAACUACGUGCCAGCCGCCGCGGUAACAC
rnacentral:rRNA from 1 species